UUUGCCAGGAGCGCCUUUAAGGAGAGAAGUGAUGGGGAUGAAGUUAAAGUGAAUUGCAUCCGGCAUGAAUGGAACUGUUAGAAGCCACUCGGAAUGGCUACUGGCUGAUGGAUCACCUCCCCUUUUGAAACAUAUGACGAUGAGAAGCUAUUGAAGGCAAUAGGUUGUGAACUGAAGACAUUGAAAGCCUGCGGUGCCUACAGUUGAAGAAAGUCAUGAAUUUUUUAGUGCAAACAACAUUUUGAUUAGAUUAAAGUCUGACGUGGAAAAAAAAAAGAGCAAUAAAUAAACGAGAUAGCAAUUAAUAAAGUCCGGUCAGUGCAAAAUAUUAGAACCUUGUCUUUAGUUUUGGGAUGUUGCGGGGAGAAAUUGCAUGCCCCUGUAAACAGCUGAUCUCCAAGCUCAUCCAAGUGUUGUUUGAGCUCUGAUGGCCCCAAGCCGGAAGAUUUAUCUUGCUUAACGAGCACCAUAUCUUGGCCGCCAAUGCUCAAUCCCACAAUCACAUGGGUCCCAUAUUUCUCAAUGAAUCUGUCAAACACAUUCAC